rnacentral:rRNA from 1 species
UACAGAGGUCCCAAGCGUUGUUCGGAUUCACUGGGCGUAAAGGGUGCGUAGGUGGUGGGGUAAGUCGGAUGUGAAAGCUCGGAGCUCAACUCCGAAAUGGCAUUGGAAGUACCCUGCUAGAGGAUUGGAGGGGGGACUGGAAUACUUGGUGUAGCAGUGAAAUGCGUAGAUAUCAAGUGGAACACCAGUGGCGAAGGCGAGUCCCUGGACAAUACCUGACACUGAGGCACGAAAGCUAGGGGAGCAAACAGG